rnacentral:rRNA from 1 species
GAGUCUUGUAGAGGGGGGUAGAAUUCCAGGUGUAGCGGUGAAAUGCGUAGAGAUCUGGAGGAAUACCGGUGGCGAAGGCGGCCCCCUGGACAAAGACUGACGCUCAGGUGCGAAAGCGUGGGGAGCAAACAGGAUUAGAUACCCUGGUAGUCCACGCCGUAAACGAUGUCGACUUGGAGGUUGUGCCCUUGAGGCGUGGCUUCCGGAGCUAACGCGUUAAGUCGACCGCCUGGGGAGUACGGCCGCAAGGUUAAAACUCAAAUGAAUUGACGGGGGCCCGCACAAGCGGUGGAGCAUGUGGUUUAAUUCGAUGCAACGCGAAGAACCUUACCUACUCUUGACAUCCAGAGAACUUWSCAGAGAUGSWUUGGUGCCUUCGGGAACUCUGAGACAGGUGCUGCAUGGCUGUCGUCAGCUCGUGUUGUGAAAUGUUGGGUUAAGUCCCGCAACGAGCGCAACCCUUAUCCUUUGUUGCCAGCGGUYMGGCCGGGAACUCAAAGGAGACUGCCAGUGAUAAACUGGAGGAAGGUGGGGAWGACGUCAAGUCAUCAUGGCCCUUACGAGUAGGGCUACACMCGUGCUACAAUGGCGCAUACAAAGAGAAGCGACCUCGCGAGAGCAAGCGGACCUCAUAAAGUGCGUCGUAGUCCGGAUUGGAGUMUGCAACUCGACUCCAUGAAGUCGGAAUCGYUAGUAAUCGUGGAUCAGAAUGCCACGGUGAAUACGUUCCCGGGCCUUGUACACACCGCCCGUCACACCAUGGGAGUGGGUUGCAAAAGAAGUAGGUAGCUUAACCUUCGGGAGGGCGCUUACCA